AUCAAGGCUGAGGCGUGAUGACGAGGCACUACGGUGCUGAAGCAACAAAUGCCCUGCUUCCAGGAAAAGCCUCUAAGCAUCAGGUAACAUCAAAUCGUACCCCAAACCGACACAGGUGGUCAGGUAGAGAAUACCAAGGCGCUUGAGAGAACUCGGGUGAAGGAACUAGGCAAAAUGGUGCCGUAACUUCGGGAGAAGGCACGCUGAUAUGUAGGUGAAGCGACUUGCUCGUGGAGCUGAAAUCAGUCGAAGAUACCAGCUGGCUGCAACUGUUUAUUAAAAACACAGCACUGUGCAAACACGAAAGUGGACGUAUACGGUGUGACGCCUGCCCGGUGCCGGAAGGUUAAUUGAUGGGGUUAGCGGUAACGCGAAGCUCUUGAUCGAAGCCCCGGUAAACGGCGGCCGUAACUAUAACGGUCCUAAGGUAGCGAAAUUCCUUGUCGGGUAAGUUCCGACCUGCACGAAUGGCGUAAUGAUGGCCAGGCUGUCUCCACCCGAGACUCAGUGAAAUUGAACUCGCUGUGAAGAUGCAGUGUACCCGCGGCAAGACGGAAAGACCCCGUGAACCUUUACUAUAGCUUGACACUGAACAUUGAGCCUUGAUGUGUAGGAUAGGUGGGAGGCUUUGAAGUGUGGACGCCAGUCUGCAUGGAGCCGGCCUUGAAAUACCACCCUUUAAUGUUUGAUGUUCUAACGUUGGCCCCUGAUCGGGGUUGCGGACAGUGUCUGGUGGGUAGUUUGACUGGGGCGGUCUCCUCCUAAAGAGUAACGGAGGAGCACGAAGGUUGGCUAAUCCUGGUCGGACAUCAGGAGGUUAGUGCAAUGGCAUAAGCCAGCUUGACUGCGAGCGUGACGGCGCGAGCAGGUGCGAAAGCAGGUCAUAGUGAUCCGGUGGUUCUGAAUGGAAGGGCCAUCGCUCAACGGAUAAAAGGUACUCCGGGGAUAACAGGCUGAUACCGCCCAAGAGUUCAUAUCGACGGCGGUGUUUGGCACCUCGAUGUCGGCUCAUCACAUCCUGGGGCUGAAGUAGGUCCCAAGGGUAUGGCUGUUCGCCAUUUAAAGUGGUACGCGAGCUGGGUUUAGAACGUCGUGAGACAGUUCGGUCCCUAUCUGCCGUGGGCGCUGGAGAACUGAGGGGGGCUGCUCCUAGUACGAGAGGACCGGAGUGGACGCAUCACUGGUGUUCGGGUUGUCAUGCCAAUGGCACUGCCCGGUAGCUAAAUGCGGAAGAGAUAAGUGCUGAAAGCAUCUAAGCACGAAACUUGCCCCGAGAUGAGUUCUCCCUGAGACUUAGAGUCUCCUGAAGGAACGUUGAAGACGACGACGUUGAUAGGCCGGGUGUGUAAGCGCAGCGAUGCGUUGAGCUAACCGGUACUAAUGAACCGUGAGGCUUAACCUUACAACGCCGAAG
rnacentral:rRNA from 1 species